rnacentral:antisense_RNA from 1 species
GCAUGGAAAUCCCCUGAGUGAAACAACGAAUUGCUGUGUGUAGUCUUUGCCCAUCUCCCACGAUGGGCUUUUUUUUAU